UACGGAGGGUGCGAGCGUUGUCCGGAAUCACUGGGCGUAAAGGGCGCGUAGGCGGUGGGAUAAGCGCAUGGUGAAAGCCCGGGGCUCAACCCCCGGGUCGGCCGUGCGAACUGUCCGACUCGAGCACUGUAGAGGCAGGUGGAAUUCUUGGUGUAGCGGUGAAAUGCGUAGAUAUCAAGAGGAACACCUGAGGUGAAGGCGGGUCUCUGGGCAACAACUGACGCUGAGGAGCGAAAGCGUGGGGAGCGAACAGG
rnacentral:rRNA from 1 species